UACAGAGGGUGCAAGCGUUGUUCGGAAUUAUUGGGCGUAAAGCGCGUGUAGGCGGCUUUGCAAGUCGGGUGUGAAAGCCCUCAGCUUAACUGAGGAAGUGCGCCCGAAACUGCAUAGCUUGAGUACCGGAGAGGAUGGCGGAAUUCCCCAAGUAGAGGUGAAAUUCGUAGAUAUGGGGAGGAACACCGGUGGCGAAGGCGGCCAUCUGGACGGAUACUGACGCUGAGACGCGAAAGCGUGGGUAGCAAACAGG
rnacentral:rRNA from 1 species